UCCCAAUGAGGAAACACUCACACAUCUUACUUCCUGUCCUAGGCCCAGAGCCUGUAAAGGUGAACCCUUCUGAGUUUCAGAAGGGACUGUCUGAGGGAC